UACGGGGGGGGCAAGCGUUGUUCGGAAUUACUGGGCGUAAAGCGCACGUAGGCGGGUCGUUAAGUCGGGGGUGAAAUCCUGGAGCUCAACUCCAGAACUGCCUCCGAUACUGGCGACCUCGAGUCCGGGAGAGGUGAGUGGAACUGCGAGUGUAGAGGUGAAAUUCGUAGAUAUUCGCAAGAACACCAGUGGCGAAGGCGGCUCACUGGCCCGGUACUGACGCUGAGGUGCGAAAGCGUGGGGAGCAAACAGG
rnacentral:rRNA from 1 species